CUCUCUCUCUCUCUCUCUCUCUCUCUGUAAUUUAACACUAAUUGAAUUCAGCGACAUUAGUUAGAAAUACUAAUCCUGCUUUACAAAGCCCCAGUGAGGUUAAACAUGUUAUGUGUUCAGUGAUCCUCGUCGGGUAGAAAACAUUUAGAAUGCAUUCUUAAAACUGCAGCCCUCCCUCCCAAUGUACAUUAUGGUCUAAGCCCCCUUCUCAAAGUAAAUACCUUUAUCUGACAAUGUCACAAUUGCAUGUUCAGUGAAUUCAGUAGAGACAUAGUGUCGGAGUAUAUUAUGAAAACAAAUAUGCCUUUGUUAUAUCUGUGGUGAUAUAUUCAGUAAAUGAUUCCAUAUUAUUUAGUCAUCUUAGAUAACUCUUAAAUGUAACUAAAUGUAAUCGAAAAUGUAAUCUAUGUGAUUCCCCCAAAGUGUUGGUCUCGUCAGUUGUUUUAGAUGCAAUACUGGAUAGCAGUUAUGUCCUACUGUGUUGGUCUCAUCAGUUGUUUAGAUGUAAUACUGGAUAGCAGUUAUGUCCUACUGUGUUGUUCAGAUAUAAUCCUGAAUAGCAGUUAUGUCCUACUGUGUUGGUCUCAUUGAGAGUUAACACAAGACAUAAGCCGGUGUCUCUCUUUCUACUUUCUCAGUGUGUGUAGUUAUUUUUCCAAUCCCGCAAGGUGUGUGUGUGUGUGUGUGUGUGUGUGUGUGUGUGUGUGUGUGUGUCCAUGACAGGAAAGUAGUACCGUGCUCUACCAUGACAGGAAAGUAGUACCGUGCUCUACCAUGACUUAGAAGAGUUUAGACACUUUAUUAUUGAACCAGUGAGACUCCAGUGGACGAGAGGGCAUAAUACGGAUGAUCAGAGAUGUACAUAUUAUUUGACUGUAUUUACAGAGUGAAAGUCAAGUGUUUUCACAUUAUACACAAAUUGUUCUACAAAUAAAUCAACAGUUUUGUAAAUAACAUAACAUUAAAUAAAUUCAAUCACCUUCCUAUGGGUUUUUACAGCUAAAUAUGCAUAAUAAUGACGACCGUUCUCUGCUCUGCAUAGAAUUGAUACAUGUACUUUCAGUAACGGACAAUUUGCGUGUGUUUUCUCCCUAUAAUACUGCUCUCACAAUGCAGACGUAUGCAGGCUGUAAAUAGACGAAACAAGAACAAGAACUAAAGUCUUUGGCAAAUGUGGUAAAAAAAUACAUUCACUUGAAAGUUAAACGAUGUAAGGUAAUGUUUAAUCACGUUUUUUUUUCCCCCAUUCUUCCAGCCAGGUCGGUGUUACCGGUGUGAUUUUCAAGACAAACCAACUGGAUAAUUCACAUGACGUCUUAUACGACAAAACGAAAAAAACAAAACAAACAUAGGAAGUUGAAACCUUGACUUAAAAAAACAAAAACAACAACAACCUGCAUGUGAUGAAAGGCAUUUAACUGAAAUCUUUGCCUU
rnacentral:lncRNA from 13 species